GAGUCCUUGCUUAUCCCCUGCGCAUAGGAAGCCAGCUCCCUCACGUUGCCUCAUCCCUAGACGCGCUCGCCCAGAUCGAGCGUCGUCGCUCAGCUCGCCCAGCCCUCCCCAUCCUUCUCUAGCCAUGGUGCUGCUCCCAGUCUUCUGCUCGCCCCUGCCCUCAGCCUUGGCGUCUGGCCGCCACUACCCCAGCUUUCCAUGGCGGCAUUUUCUGCUUCCUGGUGGCCGACGCCCUCCCUAAACUGAGCACCGCCGUCAACUGCGCCUUGGCGCUAAUCCUCCCCAACCUCUUCUUUGCCGGUGGUCGUCUCCAGCCCCUUCCAUGGCACCUAGUUUUAUUCCCAUGGCGAGCUCGCCCAAGCAAUCACCUCCAUCACAGGUGAUGUUUUCCCCUUCCCUUUCCUCAAGUUUGGUUCUCGGUGCCCAAGUUUUUGUGUCCCUGCAGCUCGCCGUGCCUGCGCAGCCCCGACAACGACUCCCUCUUCUGCGUCGCGCCAUUGACCCGCUCGAUGGAAUGCCGCAGCGAGCUCUACCCGAUCUGCAACGCCUGCGCGCCGUCGUCGAAAUCCCCGCAACCGUGUUGGUCCGCAACAACACAUCGUCGAUCUGCAAUCCCUAGCCUUGUGGUCGACCUUGGUGAGCCCCUCGCCGUUCCACACCCCUCGAUUCGUUAAAUACCAAAUCAAUAAAAUGUGCAUUUAAAUAUGUGUGUCAAUCACAGCCCUCCGUCGAUGUCCUGCCUUGCGCAUCGCUUGCUCAACGAAAGCCUCACUCGUGAACGACAUGCGCGACUCAUCCGAUCCCGCCAGGUACGCUAGAUGAUUAUGCGAAUUGGAGGGCAUGGAUCAGGAUGGAUCACAAGGUGGCUUUGAUGGACCCAUCUCGAUAUGGACGACUUGAUCAAGUGUCAGGAUUGUUGAUGCUCGCCAAGCGGACUUCAUCUAACCACACUAACCUAGUGUAUCCCAGGUUGUAAUUUUGUUCUGUUGUGGAUGGUGCUAAGUGCCGGUAGGCUCGGCCUUCUUAUAUAAGUAUAUCCCAUCUUUAGCUUCCCUAUUGAGGAUUGUCACUUAAGCUAGCAUGUAUUUUAAAACUUAUAAAUGUUUUAUACAUUCAAAUUGUAAUCUUUUUGAAUCAAUUUCUUUUGUAAUCAACUCCGAUGAUAUAUAUUGUAAUCUUGUUAUAACUUGUAAAUGUUGUAACUUGUAAUCAUUUUGUAAUAAAGAAUUUAUUUCCGCUGC